GAUGAACGCUGGCGGCGUGCCUAAUACAUGCAAGUCGAGCGAACGGACGAGAAGCUUGCUUCUCUGAUGUUAGCGGCGGACGGGUGAGUAACACGUGGAUAACCUACCUAUAAGACUGGUAUAACUUCGGGAAACCGUAGCUAAUACCGGAUAAUAUUUUGAACCGCAUGGUUCAAAAGUGAAAGACGGUCUUGCUGUCACUUAUAGAUGGAUCCGCGCUGCAUUAGCUAGUUGGUAAGGUAACGGCUUACCAAGGCAACGAUGCAUAGCCGACCUGAGAGGGUGAUCGGCCACACUGGAACUGAGACACGGUCCAGACUCCUACGGGAGGCAGCAGUAGGGAAUCUUACGCAAUGGGAGAAAGCCUGACGGAGCAACGCCGAGUGAGUGAUGAAGGUCUUCGGAUCGUAAAACUCUGUUAUUAGGGAAGAACAUAUGUGUAAGUAACUGUGCACAUCUUGACGGUACCUAAUCAGAAAGCCACGGCUAACUACGUG
rnacentral:rRNA from 1 species